ensembl:snRNA U1 U1 spliceosomal RNA
AUACUUACCUGGCAGGGGAGUUACCAUGAUCACGAAGGUGGUUUUCCCAGAGCGAGGCUUAUCCGUUGCACUCCGGAUGUGCUGACCUCUGCAAUUUCCCUAAAUGUGGGAAACUCGACUGCAUAAUUUGUGGUAGUGGGGGACUGCGUUUGCGCUCUCCCCUG